rnacentral:rRNA from 1 species
UGCAGUCGACGAUGAACCUCCUUCGGGAGGGGAUUAGUGGCGAACGGGUGAGUAACACGUGGGCAAUCUGCCCUGCACUCUGGGACAAGCCCUGGAAACGGGGUCUAAUACCGGAUAUGACUCGGGAGGGCAUCCUUCCGGGUGGAAAGCUCCGGCGGUGCAGGAUGAGCCCGCGGCCUAUCAGCUUGUUGGUGGGGUGAUGGCCUACCAAGGCGACGACGGGUAGCCGGCCUGAGAGGGCGACCGGCCACACUGGGACUGAGACACGGCCCAGACUCCUACGGGAGGCAGCAGUGGGGAAUAUUGCACAAUGGGCGAAAGCCUGAUGCAGCGACGCCGCGUGAGGGAUGACGGCCUUCGGGUUGUAAACCUCUUUCAGCAGGGAAGAAGCGCAAGUGACGGUACCUGCAGAAGAAGCGCCGGCUAACUACGUGCCAGCAGCCGCGGUAAUACGUAGGGCGCAAGCGUUGUCCGGAAUUAUUGGGCGUAAAGAGCUCGUAGGCGGCUUGUCGCGUCGGAUGUGAAAGCUCGGGGCUUAACCCCGGGUCUGCAUUCGAUACGGGCAGGCUAGAGUGUGGUAGGGGAGAUCGGAAUUCCUGGUGUAGCGGUGAAAUGCGCAGAUAUCAGGAGGAACACCGGUGGCGAAGGCGGAUCUCUGGGCCAUUACUGACGCUGAGGAGCGAAAGCGUGGGGAGCGAACAGGAUUAGAUACCCUGGUA